rnacentral:misc_RNA from 1 species
GAUGAAGAACGUAGCGAAAUGCGAUAAGUAGUGUGAAUUGCAGAAUUCAGUGAAUCAUCGAAUCUUUGAACGCACAUUGCGCCCGCCAGCACUCUGGCGGGCAUGCCUGUUCGAGCGUCAUUUCAACCAUCAAGCCCCCAGGGGCUUGUGCUGGGGCCCUGCGGCUGCCCGCAGGCCCUGAAAACCAGUGGCGGGCUCGCUAGUCACACCGAGCGCAGUAGCACAUCUCGCUCAGGGCGUGCGGCGGGCUCCUGCCGUGAAACCCCCCACUGUAACCCCAAAGGUUGACCUCGGAUCAGGUAGGAAUACCCGCUGAACUUAAGCAUAUCAAUAAGCGGAGGA